rnacentral:rRNA from 1 species
AACGAACGCUGGCGGCAUGCCUAACACAUGCAAGUCGAACGAGACCUUCGGGUCUAGCGGCGCACGGGUGCGUAACGCGUGGGAACCUGCCCUUAGGUUCGGAAUAACUCCCCGAAAGGGGUGCCAAUACCGGAUAAUGUCUUCGGACCAAAGAUUUUUCGCCUUUGGAUGGGCCCGCGUUUGUUUAGCUAGUUGGUAGGGUAAAAGCCUACCAAGGCGACGAUCCAUAGCUGGUCUGAGAGGAAGAUCAGCCACACGGGGACGGCGACACGGCCCAGACUCCGAGGGGGGGCGGAUGUGGGGAAUAGGGGGCAAGGGUGGAGAGCCGACGCCGCGUGGGCGGUGUGGGUGUUGGGGGCGUAAGGUUUGUAAGGCUCUGUCGCCCGGGAUGUGUGACGGUACCCGGAGAGAAAGAGCCGGGUCAAUCCGUG